GGUUAAGCUACUAAGAGCCUACGGUGGAUGCCUAGGGGCCAAGGGCCGAUGAAGGGCGUGGCAAGGCUGCGAAAAGCCUCGAUGAGCCGUCUAGCAGGCAUAGUCGGGGAUGCCCGAAUGGGGGAACCCGGCCCGGUGUUGAGCUGGGUCAUCCCGACGUAAAGUCGGGAAGGUAAGCGGGGGAACUGAAACAUCUAAGUACCCUGAGGAAAAUAAAUCAACCGAGAUUCCCCUAGUAGUGGCGAACGAACGGGGAAGAGCCUAAACCGCUGCGACUUAGUGGUCCAGGGACCUAUGUCGUAGCGGGGUUAUAGGACGCGUCGGCUCCGACCUGGUAGGAGCAAGGAGUUACAAAGCUUAUUUCUAGCUGAAGGCACCUGGAAAGGACCGUCGAAGAGGGUGAAAGCCCCGUAGGCGAAAGGAAUAAGUCUCCUGAUGCAGAUCCUGAGUACCGCGGGACACGAGAAAUCCUGUGGGAAGUUGGGGGGACCACCCUCCAAGGCUAAAUACCCUUGGCCACCGAUAGUGUACCAGUACCGUGAGGGAAAGGUGAAAAGAACC
rnacentral:rRNA from 1 species